CAGGGAUCAUAGCACCGGAGCUGGGGAGAGGCUGGGCUUCUUAAUUGGCCUUCAUCCAGAUCUAGAGGAUUUAACUCUAGUGUAUGAGAGAUGUUUGACCUCGAGAUCAUGAUCGCCAUUGGGAGCGCCUUACUGAUUACAGCUUUCGUGCUCAUAGGUGUCGUCAUCUGUCUUUACUACAAAGUAGCCAACACGUUAAAUGCUGCAAAGACACCCAUCGCUACGACCAUUACCUGUAGAGAUCAAGAUAAGGUCACCGAGGCUGUAACCUCCAGCCCCGAGUCUUACCCCAGCUUCCAGUGCUGUGAAGACUGUAACUUGCCUGCCAACUUUGAUCCCCUGACAUCGUGCUUCUGUGACAUAAACAAGGGACUCAAUACAGAAUGAGUAAUAGAAGGUGGUUAUAAACACCAACUGCCACCAUCUGACUAGUUACAGAAACAAGGACUCUGUUGUGAA